AACGAACGCUGGCGGCGCGCCUAAUACAUGCAAGUCGAGCGAGAAGGUGUAGCAAUACACUUGUAAAGCGGCGAACGGGUGAGGAAUGCAUGGGUAACCUACCCUCGAGUGGGGAAUAACUAGCCGAAAGGUUAGCUAAUACCGCAUACGUUUCCGGAACUUCGGUUUCGGAAAGAAAGCAAUACCGUGGGUAUUGCGCUCCUGGAUGGGCUCAUGUCCUAUCAGCUUGUUGGUGAGGUAACGGCUCACCAAGGCUUCGACGGGUAGCUGGUCUGAGAGGACGAUCAGCCACACUGGCACUGCGACACGGGCCAGACUCCUACGGGAGGCAGCAGUAAGGAAUAUUGCGCAAUGGACGAAAGUCUGACGCAGCGACGCCGCGUGGGGGAUGGAAGGUCUUCGGAUUGUAAACCCCUUUCGGGAGGGAAGAUGGAGUGGGUAACCACUUGGACGGUACCUCCAGAAGCAGCCACGGCUAACUUCGUGCC
rnacentral:rRNA from 1 species